rnacentral:lncRNA from 1 species
AAAACAAACGACACAACGAAAACACAACGCUAAAAUGCAACACACACAGAAACGAACUACAAUACAACAAUGGCCAUAUUCCUGACUUGGUAGAGGACAAGGAAAAAAUGGUGGGAUGAACCUGGUUUUGUGGCAUGCCAAACCUCCCUCUUUUAUGGCCAUGUGAAAUAUAACAUUAAAAUGACAACAUAACAUUACAGG